rnacentral:rRNA from 1 species
GUGAGGAAUCUUCCACAAUGGGCGAAAGCCUGAUGGAGCAACGCCGCGUGAAGGAUGAAGGUCUUCGGAUUGUAAACUUCUUUUAUGAGUGAAGAAUAUGACGGUAACUCAUGAAUAAGCACCGGCUAACUACGUGCCAGCAGCCGCGGUCAUACGUAGGGUGCAAGCAUUAUCCGGAGUGACUGGGCGUAAAGAGUUGCGUAGGCGGUUAUGUAAGCGAAUAGUGAAACCUGGUGGCUCAACCACACAGACUAUUAUUCGAACUGCAUAACUCGAGAAUGGUAGAGGUAACUGGAAUUUCUGGUGUAGGAGUGAAAUCCGUAGAUAUAAGAAGGAACACCAAUGGCGUAGGCAGGUUACUGGGCCAUUUCUGACGCUAAGGCACGAAAGCGUGGGGAGCGAACCGGAUUAGAAACCCCAGUAGUCC